rnacentral:rRNA from 1 species
UACGUAGGGGGCAAGCGUUGUCCGGAUUUAUUGGGCGUAAAGAGCGUGUAGGCGGUCAGGUAGGUCCGUUGUGAAAACUCGAGGCUCAACCUCGAGACGCCGAUGGAAACCAUCUGACUAGAGUCCGGAAGAGGAGAGUGGAAUUCCUGGUGGAGCGGUGAAAUGCGCAGAUAUCAGGAGGAACACCAAUGGCGAAGGCAGUUCUCUGGGACGGUACUGACGCUGAGACGCGAAAGCGUGGGGAGCGAACAGG